rnacentral:lncRNA from 1 species
CCCACACUAAGACUUAGAAGAAUAGUACUGCUUAGAGAAGCUUGCUAGAGUGUACAUAUGGAUCUGGUAUAGGCAUUAUGGGUGGAAAAUUUGUAAUUCAGUUUAUCAUUAACAAAUUUCUAUCACUUAAAUGAAAGAAGUGGGUGGAAUGUUUGCUUAACAGCAGUCCUAUGGAAUCUGUUCUUGCUAUGUUGUCCUCUCUCGUACUUUCUGGAUAUUUACCACAUUAACAGAUUACAGGCUCUCCGGAUAAAUUCUUAUGAACAAUGGGAGUUCCGGGGAGGACAGAUAGGCUUCAAAGAGCAUGAACCUGUAUAAAUGCUCAUUGUUAUUCUGUAGUAGCAUUUCAUUUUCCAAUGAAAUAAAUUCUUUAAAAAGAUUCACAAACUGUGACUCAUAAAGGAGUUUUUCCCUGUUAAAUCAUCCCACUACUUGGAUAUAAACAUUCACAUCCUCAGGGAGGCAGUAAGUACAUUUUAUGCUUUGGAAAAAUAGCAAUGAAUAUUCUAAGUCAAAACUAGAGACCUGCUUUGCUUGUGCUGGAGAAAAGAGAGUAAGAUUCCAGUGGUUUCCAACGCUAAAUUUAAUAUUUAAAAAUAUGCUGGUUUUGGAGUUAUUUCUGUGAGUACUACUGAGUGAUGAAAUGAUUCAUGAAUGUUGAUAACUAAUCGGAUUCAUGUGUAUAGAUGGUUUUCUAUUGAUAAUAGUCAUUCAGUUAUGGAAUUAUGCAUUAAAGCCAAAUCAGAUCCAAAGACAAAUUUUGAAUAUUCAAAUAUAUUCAAUUUUGAAUAGUCUGAUUUAUUUAUAAUCCAGAUGACAAGUUUCUACUUUAACUGACUACUUGUUUGGUAUACAAAUAGGAUACGAAACUUCCCUUUCUUCAGCAGAGUUUAUUUAAUCAGUGGAUAUUGCUUCCAGCUGUGUGACAGUGACUUUCCAUGGGUCUAGGUUUCCCUGUGAAACAGAAAAACAGUGAAGAGAAAGAGAGAGAGAGAGAGAGAGAAAGAAAAAGAAAGAGAUUGGUCAAGCUACAUAGAGCCUUCAAUUUCUUCUAUGAUAUACCAAAUGAAAGAACUUGAUUACUCUGUUCUGGGUAUGCAACAUUGACUUAAAAAUAUUAGUAGUGCUGGUAAUGGUACUGCUAAUUUGAAGUGUGGA